rnacentral:rRNA from 1 species
UACAGAGGGGGCAAGCGUUGUUCGGAAUUACUGGGCGUAAAGGGCGCGUAGGCGGCCCGCUAAGUCGAACGUGAAAUCCCCGGGCUCAACCCGGGAACUGCGUCCGAUACUGGCAGGCUUGAAUCCGGGAGAGGGAUGCGGAAUUCCAGGUGUAGCGGUGAAAUUCGUAGAUAUGGGGAGGAACACCGGUGGCGAAGGCGGCCAUCUGGACGGAUACUGACGCUGAGACGCGAAAGCGUGGGGAGCAAACAGG